rnacentral:lncRNA from 1 species
AUGGUUGAAUAUGUGAAUUUGGUUGGAAUUGGAGAAGUUUUUAAUUGAUUAUGAAUUUCUGGGAAUUUAGGAUUUCGAUUAUCGAUUUACGAGAAUCCGACCGUCGGAUAUCUCUUGGUUCUGACUUGGAACCUUUAAGAUAACGAAUUGGUAUUAGAUGUAAAAUUUGGGUUGAAUCAGAGAAAAAGUGGAGAGAUGAUUUAUGAGGAUUUGAUUUUGAGAAUCGUAUUUGAUUGUUGAAUAGUUAUUCACGGAAAAUAAUUGUGU